GGGAUUGUGGCUCAGCAGUAAAGCGCUCGACUAGCACGUGAGAGUCCCUGGGUUCGAUCCCCAGCACCA
rfam:Ictidomys tridecemlineatus contig054649, whole genome shotgun sequence.